UGUUAAAUUCUAAGUUUUGAAGGAUUUGUAAGAAAUGUUUGAAGGGACUGACAAAGUUAACAAAUACUAAGUCAGUUUCCUCAAACAUUUCUUACUAAUCCUUCAAAACUUAGAAUUUA